AAGUCCCGCCUCCUGCUGCGGUGAGGCGCUGUCAGCUGCUGUCCUAGAGCGGGGCCUGUCAGCGGGACCUCGUCCUCCUCCUUCUGACCUUUCUUCUUAGGCUGUUUGAAUCUUUAAGUCCUUGCAGUACUCAAGGCGUUUCUUAAGCUUUUUUCGCUUUGCUUCCCCUGCAAUCCCCUGUCCUCGGCUCUGGACUUCACAUCACUUUUUGUUUCUCUACUGUUUGCUGCGAGUUCCUUUCCUCUCCAGCGCCUAUGCUGGCCCUUUAAAACAACAAUAAAAACCUUGCUCUCUCAUAUUUCUUUUAGAGCUCUUCUUUUGAGCUGGAGGAAGCCUGGCUCUGCCAGAUAGUAGCUGGGUGACCUGGCAAGUCACGUCCUACUUCGGUUUUCUCAUCUGCAAAGACAGUGCCCAGCUUUAGGUUUGUGAAGAUUGAGUGAAGCCAGGAGGAGAAGCACACACCACACCUUGCACUGGAUGAAAGGGCGCAAAAGCACAAAGAUGGGUAUUCGGGUCCGCACGAUGAAGUCGAGGAAGUCCCAAAGGGCCAGGCCUCCCACCUUCCGCAGAGCCAUCUCCUUGACCUGGAGGCUCAGCCAGUACCACUGGCUUCCGAGCUGCCUCUCAAAGCAGACGAGAAUCACCUUCAGUGCUUCACACCGGGAAAAGAGAAAAGUGAGCCUGCAGAUCUGUGGUUCAGAGGAACCCAACCUACAUUCACAGCCCUUUUUGCACCUUUAUAAAUUUUCUAAACCUCUAAACUCUGUCCAUGUUUCUAAAAACUUCAUAUGUAUUCCUGAGAAAGAGCAUGCUGGACAUCGAGACAAAAAUGGGGGUGGUGUUUUGAUUCUGAUGAAGAGAACCCACAUAUUUUUCUUAAGUGCAUUGAACUACUAUUUUGGAAAAUAUAGAACAAUGUGGUCCACUGAA